AGCCCUUGACAUCCAGUGAACUUUCCAGAGAUGGAUUGGUGCCUUCGGGAACACUGUGACAGGUGCUGCAUGGCUGUCGUCAGCUCGUGUCGUGAGAUGUUGGGUUAAGUCCCGUAACGAGCGCAACCCUUGUCCUUAGUUGCCAGCACGUAAAGGUGGGAACUCUAAGGAGACUGCCGGAGAUAAACCGGAGGAAGGUGGGGAUGACGUCAAGUCAUCAUGACCCUUAUGGGCUGGGCUACACACGUGCUACAAUGGCCGGUACAGAGAGUUGCGAAGCGGCGACGUGGAGCCAAUCUCAGAAAACCGGUCGUAGUCCGGAUCGCAGUCUGCAACUCGACUGCGUGAAGUCGGAAUCGCUA
rnacentral:rRNA from 1 species